UUGUGCAGCUCUGUCUCGGUUCGAGGAUGAUGGCUUUCGUUUAGCUCUUCUGGUGUCCUUCAUCAGCUCAGGCAUCAUCCUCGUCAUGAGCAUCAUCUUCAUCACUUCCUGUCUGGCGAGACACGUGAAACGCGAGGAGAGGGCAAGAAAAGCUGGAGCGUCAGAGUUUUGGCAACAAAUAGACGUUGAGGAUGUGGAGAUGCAGAGAGAGGUGUUACACAACCAGAAAACCACAAACCACAACAACAACAACAGCAGCAGCAGCAGCAGAGGAGAGAGACGGCACACAGACAAGCACAUCUACAGCCACGGAGACCUCCACACUGCCUGCAGGGGUCUUCAUCAAGGGAAGCCCUGUCCUCCGAGCAUCCAUCCGUCCCAGUUCUCUCUGAUACUCAGUCCACCCACUGACUACCUCAUAAACACACACAUGGGCCCCGUCGAUGCCCGCGGUGCGUUCCCUGUCCCCCGUGACGCUGCAGAGGACAGGCACUUCUGCAGGCCGCUUCAUGACCCGCUCUGGAACGGACCGCACCCGUACAGCCCACAUCCACCGCCUGUCCAGAUGAUGUCUAUAUGAGGAUGUGCUGAUGACCGUGGAGGAUUUUGUGUAAUAAUGAUGCAAACUGGGACUGGUCAUGAGACAAGACCUCAACUGAGAACUGUUAUUUUGUUGUUAUGUGUGUAUUGAAUUUUCUUUGCACUUAACAUGCUAUUGCACUUGAUACUGGCCAAACAUCAGUAUUUAGUUUUGAGUAUGGAGUACAGUACACAACAGGCAACAAUAAAUGUUUUAAAUAGCUGUAUAGUAAAUUGUUAUAAUAUGACUACUUGACCUGCAACAUUACUGGAUGUUUGCAUACAGUAUGCCUCAUUCCCUUGACAUUAAGAAUGUAGAGUUUGCAGGAAAAUAAUCCAAAGGCACACCAGACAGACCGAUGUCUUGAAGGACCCUGAUGCUGAUGCUUGACACUGUCCAUAAGCCAGACUUCAUGAAACAGCAGCACAAUUAUUUUCACUUAUCUGUUAAUAUAAAAAAAAUGUUUAAAAUAUUCCAAAUAAUCAACCAACACAGAAUUCUCUCAUUUACUCAGUAUAAGGAAAUUCUGUAAAUAUGCUUUAUUGAUGCACACUUGAAAUAAUCAUUAUAUCCUCAUGGAAACAACGUCUCAAAUGUGUAGAUUGAUUUUUUUUUGUACGCAAACUAAAAACCAAAGCAAGCUUUAAAAUGUGGAGAUUUCAGCUAGUGUUGGAUAUAAUGUGUGAAUAAAAACUGACUACCACUCUAAAGUGGCACACUGAAUUCCUUUC
rnacentral:lncRNA from 1 species